GACGAACGCUGGCGGUGUGCUUAGCACAUGCAAGUCGAACGGUAAGGCCCUUUCGGGGGUACACGAGUGGCGAACGGGUGAGUAACACGUGAGUAACCUGCCCUCAUCUCUGGGAUAACAGUCGGAAACGGUUGCUAAUACUGGAUAUGAGCUUGCAAGGCAUCUUGUGGGUUGGAAAGAUUUUUUUUGGUUGGGGAUGGACUCGCGGCCUAUCAGCUUGUUGGUGAGGUAGUGGCUCACCAAGGCUUCGACGGGUAGCCGGCCUGAGAGGGCGACCGGCCACAUUGGGACUGAGAUACGGCCCAAACUCCUACGGGAGGCAGCAGUGGGGAAUAUUGCACAAUGGACGGAAGUCUGAUGCAGCAACGCCGCGUGCGGGAUGACGGCCUUCGGGUUGUAAACCGCUUUCAAUUGUGACGAAGCUUUUUUGUGACGGUAGCAGUAGAAGAAGCACCGGCUAACUACGUG
rnacentral:rRNA from 1 species